rnacentral:rRNA from 1 species
UGGAUUUGACAUCUUGGGAAUCUCCUUGAAAGAGGAGAGUGCCCUUCGGGGAGCCCGAUGAC